UUUUCCCUUUAAUAUAAACCUAGUUGGUGCUGUGACCACAGUUCAACAACACAACAGUAUCCAGAAUUUCAAGGUGUCCUUAGGGCAUUCUGAAAAUAAAGAAGAGCGUAUGUUAUGACUGUGACAGAGCCAUAAUAAAUGUUACUAUUUUUAGGUAGGCUGUGCAUUAGUCAGUCCCUUAGAGAUUUAGGAUCUAUUAUACUAUCCCAAUCUAUUAUACUGUUGUGACAGCUGAAAUUCCACCACGUGUUCAAGCACUUCAAACCUAACAUAACGUGUUGAUCAUGUACGGAAACAAAUGACUAAGGAACAGAGCAUGGGUGCAAAAA